rnacentral:rRNA from 1 species
UGGGGAAUAUUGCACAAUGGGGGAAACCCUGAUGCAGCGACGCCGCGUGAACGAAGAAGGUAUUCGUAUCGUAAAGUUCUGUCCUAUGGGAAGAUAAUGACAGUACCAUAGAAGAAAGCUCCGGCUAAAUACGUGCCAGCAGCCGCGGUAAUACGUAUGGAGCGAGCGUUGUCCGGAAUUAUUGGGCGUAAAGGGUACGCAGGCGGUUUAAUAAGUCGAAUGUUAAAGAUCGGGGCUCAACCCCGUAAAGCAUUGGAAACUGAUAAACUUGAGUAGUGGAGAGGAAAGUGGAAUUCCUAGUGUAGUGGUGAAAUACGUAGAUAUUAGGAGGAAUACCAGUAGCGAAGGCGACUUUCUGGACACAAACUGACGCUGAGGUACGAAAGCGUGGGGAGCAAACAGGAUUAGAUACCCUGGUAGUCCACGCCGUAACGAUGAAUGCUAGGUGUUGGGGGUCAAACCUCGGUGCCGAAGUUAACACAUUAAGCAUUCCGCCUGGGGAGUACGCACGCAAGUGU